UAAAACAAUAACUCGCGCACCCCCAUCGGCACGGACACUGGCUCUGUCAACUUUCAUCGUCUAUAUUUUUUUCAGGUGUCGUUUGCUGGAUCCCUGGUAGUGACACUACCCGACUGACUAAUGAGCUCACUUCUCAGGCUUCCUUCAUAUAAAGAUCCCUUGCAGCAGGAACACUGACCUGUGUCCUUGCGGAGAGCACGAGCGGUUUAUUGAGGAUCGUCUGCUUGAUUUUUUGUUGGCUGCCUUUCCAUUCACCAACUUCCUGCUCCUCCUUCGUCUUUCUACACCGACAGGAGCUGUCAGUUUUAAGUGGUUGUAACAAGACCUUGUCCAGCACUCAUUAGAGUUGAGACAACAAACGACUUGCCGUGGUCCUGGGAAUCUGAACCAUGAAGCUGUGCAUUGUAAUGUUGCUGUGCUUGGGUGCCGCCUAUCUUAGUGUGGCACAGCUGAACAACUACUGGGUGGUGGGUCCGUGCCCCGACGAUGAGGUUAAGAGGGGCUGCCCACUGAGCCCCAACGCUAAGUGCAGUUUUAUUUGCUGGAACGUGACAGACAGCACAAACCCCGUUGAAUGCAUGUUCCAGCACUUUCUAAACGGAGAAAGGGUUGGCUGCUGGGCGAAAUAAGUGCAGUGUGGCCGGCCUGUCUUCGAGGAUCAAUCUUCAUAAAGUUCUUCGUGAACAUGCUACGGUCAGCCAUUUAAAAAAAAAAAAACGGCUGUCUUUUGGUUGCAUUUUCUGGACUUGUCACUUUUUAAAGUCCAUAAUGUUUUGUUCUUUUUCUUUUAACAUAUGUAAUCAUUAAGUGUUCAGUAAAUUCGUGAAGUUCAUUGAGACAAAA